GAAAGGAGCAGGAGCUCUCAUGAGAGCUCAAGAAACCCUAAACGUGAAGAAUCAUCAAAUCGAAGGGCAAAUCAAGGUCUAAAUUCAUGAAUGAACACGGAUUAAUGAUCACCUUCACAAGGGGAUUGUAAGGGAUCAUGUCAAGAUGGAUGGAAGCAUGGAAGGUUAACGGUCAAAAAGAGGCGAGGAAACGGAUGCGAAUACGAACACUAAAGGUUGUACGAGUCACGAGGAUCUUCAAGGAUUAGAGAUCGAGGAUCGAGUCACAAGACAGAUUGUACGGAAACGUAGGUGUUGAAAUUUAGAAAACCCAUGU